rnacentral:misc_RNA from 1 species
AAAAUAUUUAUGAACUUUUUAAUUUUAAAUUCACAUAUACAUAAUUUUACAAAGGUGAAGUUUAUGCUAAAUUUGUUAUAAAGUUAAUAAAGUAAACUAAAUAAACGAGAUCCAAAGUUGACAUAAAUUGAAACGCAGUCGUGUCAGUGGCAUAAUAUCCAAGGCUCUCAAAGCUUUACCGCACCACCCUGGUCAAACGGAAAAAUGGACCUUACCCAUUCUAUUAUUGAUUUUCACACUAACAUUUGUAAUUUGGAUCUUCUUCUUCCGGAGCUUCAACUUCAAAAACCAUCCACAGAAAAUGCAGGCACUCUUCUCUCCUAUUGCAAGUACCGCCAAAAACUUGGCCUUGCCAUGGAGGUCCAUCCCUGCAGAUACCCACCGGUCAAAGCAAAUGCAGCAGCUGCCUAUGAUGCUUCAAAAGUCGGUUACAGCUCCAUGACCUCCAAGUUUCUUUGAUCACCAAAUUGUAAAGUGACAUGAAAUUUAGCACUAUAACUUUGGAUGCUUGUUUUACUCGAUCGGUGUUUUCCCAGCUGAGGCUUGCGA